UACGGAGGAUGCGAGCGUUAUCCGGAUUUAUUGGGUUUAAAGGGUGCGUAGGUUGUUUUUUAAGUCAGCGGUGAAAGUUUGUGGCUCAACCAUAAAAUUGCCGUUGAAACUGGAAGACUUGAGUGUGUUUGAGGUAGGCGGAAUGUAUGGUGUAGCGGUGAAAUGCUUAGAGAUCAUACAGAACACCGAUUGCGAAGGCAGCUUACCAAACUAUAUCUGACGUUGAGGCACGAAAGCGUGGGUAGCAAACAGG
rnacentral:rRNA from 1 species